ACUGCGGAGGGAUCAUUAAAGAGUUAAUAAAACUCCCAACCCUAUGUGAACCUACCUAUGUUGCCUCGGCGGAUUUACCCUGUAGCAAACUUGGUUUACCCUGUAGUUACCCUGUAGAUCCGCCGGUGGACAAACCAAACUCUGUUAGCAAAAUGGCUUCUGAGCGUCUUAUUUAAUAAGUCAAAACUUUCAACAACGGAUCUCUUGGUUCUGGCAUCGAUGAAGAACGCAGCGAAAUGCGAUAAGUAAUGUGAAUUGCAGAAUUCAGUGAAUCAUCGAAUCUUUGAACGCACAUUGCGCCCAUUAGUACUCUAGUGGGCAUGCCUGUUCGAGCGUCAUUUCAACCCCUAAGCCUAGCUUAGUGUUGGGAGACUACUGUAGCGGUGCUACGUGGGAGCCACCCUGUAAGACGGGUCGGUUUACCCUGUAGCCACCCCGUAGCUCCUCAAAGUCAGUGGCGGAGACGCAGAUUCCUCUGAGCGUAGUAAAUUUUUCUCGCUUUUGUAGGUUCUGUCCCUUUUGCCGUUAAACCCCCAAUUCUUUAAUGGUUGACCUCGGAUCAGGUAGGAAUACCCGCUGAACUUAAGCAUAUCA
rnacentral:rRNA from 1 species